GAUAGCAUGCAGUCGGGGGAUCCCAGCAAUGGGGGAACCGGCGUAAGGGGCAGUAAGGCGUGGGUACCUACCCCGGGGUUCGGGAUAGCUGUCCGAGAGGGCAGGUAAUACCGGAUGACCUGGUGACAGCAAAGAUUUAUCGCCCUGGGAGGGGCCCACGUGAUAUUAGGUAGUUGGCGGGGUAACGGCCCACCAAGCCUUAGAUGUCUAGCGGGUGUGAGAGCACGACCCGCGCCACUGGCACUGAGACACUGGCCAGACACCUACGGGUGGCUGCAGUCGAGGAUCUUCGGCAAUGGGCGCAAGCCUGACCGAGCGACGCCGCGUGGGCGAUGAAGGCCUUCGGGUUGUAAAGCCCUGUCGGGGGGGAGAAAAGGGUAACACUUUGAUCUAUCCCCGGAGGAAGCACGGGCUAAGUUCGUGCCAGCAGCCGCGGUAAGACGAACCGUGCGAACGUUGUUCGGAAUCACUGGGCUUAAAGGGCGCGUAGGCGGGCCUCCAAGUCCGGGGUGAAAGCCUCCAGCCUAACUGGAGAAGCGCCUCGGAGACUGGGGGCCUCGAGGGAGGUAGGGGCAAGCGGAACUAUGGGUGGAGCGGUGAAAUGCAUUGAUAUCCAUAGGAACUCCGGUGGCGAAGGCGGCUUGCUGGACCUCUUCUGACGCUGAGGCGCGAAAGCCAGGGGAGCAAACGGGAUUAGAUACCCCGGUAGUCCUGGCCCUAAACGUUGGGUACUAGGUAGUCGACCUGACAUGGGUUGACUGCCGGAGCAAAAGUGCUAAGUACCCCGCCUGGGGAGUAUGGUCGCAAGGCUGAAACUCAAAGGAAUUGACGGGGGCUCACACAAGCGGUGGAGCAUGUGGCUCAAUUCGAGGCUACGCGAAAAACCUUAUCCUGGGCUUGACAUGUGCCAAAACCGUCAGCAGGUAGGACCCGGAAACGGGAACGAACGGUAUCCAAUCCGGAAACCUGAUACAGGUGCUCAUGGCUGU
rnacentral:rRNA from 1 species